UAGGGAAUCUUCCGCAAUGGACGCAAGUCUGACGGAGCAACGCCGCGUGAGUGAAGAAGGAUUUCGGUUCGUAAAACUCUGUUGUUAGAGAAGAACAGCGCAUAGAGUAACUGUUAUGCGUGUGACGGUAUCUAACCAGAAAGCCACGGCUAACUACGUGCCAGCAGCCGCGGUAAUACGUAGGUGGCAAGCGUUGUCCGGAUUUAUUGGGCGUAAAGCGAGCGCAGGCGGUCAAUUAAGUCUGAUGUGAAAGCCCCCGGCUCAACCGGGGAGGGUCAUUGGAAACUGGUUGACUUGAGUGCAGAAGAGGAGAGUGGAAUUCCAUGUGUAGCGGUGAAAUGCGUAGAUAUAUGGAGGAACACCAGUGGCGAGAGCGGCUCUCUGGUCUGUAACUGACGCUGAGGCUCGAAAGCGUGGGUAGCAAACAGG
rnacentral:rRNA from 1 species